GUGACUGCGGCAGGCCUACACAUGCAAGUCGAAGCGAAGAUCUUCGGAUCUAGCGGCGGACGGGUGUAGUAACGCGUGGGAACGUACCCUCUUCUGCGGGAUAGCCACUGGAAACGGUGAGUAAUACCGCAUACGCCCUUCGGGGGAAAGAUUUAUCGGAGGAGGAUCGGCCCGCGUUGGAUUAGGUAGUUGGUGGGGUAAUGGCCUACCAAGCCUACGAUCCAUAGCUGGUUUUAGAGGAUGAUCAGCCACACUGGGACUGAGACACGGCCCAGACUCCUACGGGAGGCAGCAGUGGGGAAUCUUAGACAAUGGGCGCAAGCCUGAUCUAGCCAUGCCGCGUGAGUGACGAAGGCCUUAGGGUCGUAAAGCUCUUUCGCCUGUGAUGAUAAUGACAGUAGCAGGUAAAGAAACCCCGGCUAACUCCGUGCCAGCAGCCGCGGUAAUACGGAGGGGGUUAGCGUUGUUCGGAAUUACUGGGCGUAAAGCGCACGUAGGCGGAUUGGAAAGUAUGGGGUGAAAUCCCAGGGCUCAACCCUGGAACGGCCUCAUAAACUUCCAGUCUGGAGUUCGAGAGAGGUGAGUGGAAUUCCGAGUGUAGAGGUGAAAUUCGUAGAUAUUCGGAGGAACACCAGUGGCGAAGGCGGCUCACUGGCUCGAUACUGACGCUGAGGUGCGAAAGUGUGGGGAGCAGACAGGAUUAUA
rnacentral:rRNA from 1 species